rnacentral:rRNA from 1 species
CCUACGGGCGGCAGCAGUGGGGGAUAUUGCACAAUGGGGGAAACCCUGAUGCAGCGACGCCGCGUGUGGGAAGACGGUCCUCUGGAUUGUAAACCACUGUCCCCAGGGACGAAGAUGACGUUACCUGGGGAGGCAGCUCCGGCUAACUACGUGCCAGCAGCCGCGGUAAUACGUAGGGAGCAAGCGUUGUCCGGAAUUACUGGGUGAACGGGGAGCGUAGGCGGGAUGGCAAGUUGGGUGUUAAAUCUACCGGCUCAACUGGUAGUCGCACUCAAAACUGCUAUUCUUGAGUGAAGUAGAGGCAGGCGGAAUUCCUAGUGUAGCGGUGAAAUGCGUAGAUAUUAGGAGGAACACCAGUUGCGAAGGCGGCUUGCUGGGCUUUGACUGACGCUGAGGCUCGAAAGUGUGGGGAGCAAACAGGAUUAGAUACCCUUGUAGUC